rnacentral:lncRNA from 1 species
GAUUUUCGUAUUUAAAAUAUAUAACAAGACCAGACAUAAAUAUUCCUUACACUGUUGCGCUCACCUCGUCCAGCAAGAAAAAACUCAACACGGUUGGAUUCUUCUCAACAGCCUUUUUAUUUCAGGAACACCUCGAUGCUAUGGGAACUCCGGGAACCCAGGGAGGACUGCUUAUAUACACCCCAGCACUGGGGAGAGCUAUGUGUCCUCCUGGGAUUGGUCAGUCUGCCCGCACUUUAAUUUGUAUGUACCUGCUCUGGAGGGGUUGGCGCCAGAUUCGGGCUAGCGCCUGCGCAGUGGCGUUGUUUACGGUGCCAUCUUUUAGGCGCCAGAUGCCUACAUUACGCACGCUGUCUGCUAAAACUACAUUCUCAGGGUCCAGUGAGACAGCUCAUAGGGCAAUUGCAUUUGCUAAGGGAUUUGAAUACCUGUGUCUGAUCUCUGGGUCUGUGAUGGUAUUCUUUACUCGUCAACUUGACUGUAUCUGGACUGAGCUACAGUUCAGAAUGGAGGACACACCUGUGGUCAUGAUCUUGAGGCUGGAGGGCUACAUAUCUUUGAUCCAGGAUUUGAGAAUGGAAGACAUAGGGUUUUGAUCUGAGGUGAGAGGACACUUGCUUCCCAUCCAGAUCUUGAGGCACAUCUUUAAUCUGGACCACACCUUCAGCUGGAAUCCUAUAUAAGAACAGUGGAAGAAGAAGGGCUCAUUCAUUCCUCACCUGAUUACCUCCACUCUGCCAGCAUAGCUGCUUCUUCACUGGCACUGGAUCCUAAUACUUCAAGAUUCCAGCUUCUACAUAAGAUCAGCUGAGACUCCAGACACAUGUGACUGAACAACUACUAGAUGCUUGGACUUUCCAUUCGCAGGGGAUCAUUUCUGGAUGAGUUGUACCGCAGCAUAGAACAGACAUCACAGUCUAAAGAAGGUCUGGAACUACCUGUGAUUUCAUGCAUCCUUUGAGGAGAAUGGGAUUCCACUAGAGAUGACACUUCUGAAAUGGGCAGCGCAGCCAGUGCUGCACUGAAGAUAUUUCACCCACAACAACCCAUCUAUAUGUAUUUCUUUUAAAGCUGAUGUAGCUGGAUAGCUGUCUGCAGUCUAGUUGUUAUGCAUGUGUGUGCAGUGCCUUCAGAGGCUGUAAGAGGGUAUCAGACCAUUGGAGUUGCAGCUGCUUGUGAAGUGCCUUCAUAGCAAUGCACAUGGAAGUUGGGUCUGCUGUAAAGGCAGAGAGUGCUCUUAACUGUUGAGCUCUCUUUGCAGCCCCAAAUAGUAUUUUUAAAAGAGGAAGAAGAGGAAGAAGAGGAGGAUGAGAAGAAAAAAGAAGUCUUAGUCAAAGGUGAUCCUCAGACCCUGUUCAACUGUCCUGUGGGUUGGGGCAAUCAUCAUUCACCACGGUCAUAUUUGGGUUCGAGAUUUACUGCAACAAAAUGGCACCCAAUAUAUUGAUUUGAACUCAGCUAACCUGAGAUAAAAAUUCACUGCCCCCAGGAUACAUCCAGCUGCAGCAAGAUGGAUUUGAAGCUGACUGGGUUUGAGGGGCCUACAGAAAACAGCAGAGAGGCAGCUACACCCAAGAGAGCCUUUCUGUGUUUGCUUCCCCAUAUCCUUUGCUCCCCACUUUUCCUCCCCCACUCCCAAACAGGAACACAGACAAUGCAUGUCUUUCUAAACUCAGAACCUCCCUGUGAAUAAAGAAUCAGAAAACAAAGGUACAAAGUGCUC